UGAUGCAGCCAUGCCGCGUGUGUGAAGAAGGCCUUCGGGUUGUAAAGCACUUUCAGUAGGGAGGAAGGUAGUGUAGUUAACACCUGCAUUAUUUGACGUUACCUACAGAAGAAGCACCGGCUAACUCCGUGCCAGCAGCCGCGGUAAUACGGAGGGUGCGAGCGUUAAUCGGAAUUACUGGGCGUAAAGCGCAUGCAGGCGGCCUGUUAAGUCAGAUGUGAAAGCCCCGGGGCUUAACCUCGGAAUUGCAUUUGAAACUGGCAGGCUAGAGUCUUGUAGAGGGGGUAGAAUUUCAGGUGUAGCGGUGAAAUGCGUAGAGAUCUGAAGGAAUUACCAGUGGCGAAGGCGGCCCCCUGGACAAAGACUGACGCUCAGAUGCGUAAAGCGUGGGGAGCAAACAGGAUUAGAUACCCUGGGAG
rnacentral:rRNA from 1 species